UCCUCGAUGGUCCAUCGGCUAGGAUCCCACGCUUUCACUUAUAUAAUUGAACCGUGGUGGGCCGGGUUCGAUUCCCGGUCGGGGAA